rnacentral:rRNA from 1 species
AGCGAACGCUGGCGGCAGGCCUAACACAUGCAAGUCGAACGAACCUUUCGGGGUCAGUGGCGGACGGGUGAGUAACACGUGGGAACGUGCCUUUAGGUUUGGAAUAACUCAGGGAAACUUGUGCUAAUACCGAACGUGCCCUUCGGGGGAAAGAUUAAUCGCCUUUAGAGCGGCCCGCGUCUGAUUAGCUAGUUGGUUGAGGUAAUGGCUCACCAAGGCGACGAUCAGUAGCUGGUCUGAGAGGAUGGUCAGCCACAUUGGGACUGCGACACGGCCCAAACUCCUACGGGAGGCAGCAGUGGGGAAUCUUGCACAAUGGGCGAAAGCCUGACGCAGCCAUGCCGCGUGAAUGAUGAAGGUCUUAGGAUUGUAAAAUUCUUUCACCGGGGACGAUAAUGACGGUACCCGGAGAGGAAGCCCCGGCUAACUUCGUG